GUCAUAACUGAGUCAUGUGUCAUGUCACUCUUUUUUAGAUACCUUCAAGUGCAGUGUAACCAAAUAUUCU